rnacentral:lncRNA from 1 species
CCAAACGAAGAGCACGCACUAUCUUGGUUGCUUACUGCAAGUAAUUGCAUCAAAGAUGUUCUCAUAUGUCCUUGAUUCAAUUCCUCGCUUACAGCAAGUAAAUCCAUCAAAGUGGAUAUGUCUGUUUUUGACUGAAAUUUUAAUUUUUUUUUUCAAUAACUAAUGAACCAAUUCAUGUGUGUUAUGAUUUGUAAACCAAUUCAUGAAAGUUGAUGUCCACGAGACUAUAACCAUAUGGUAUAACUGUAACAUAUCUGAAGUUAUCAAGUAACUCUAAUCUCUACAUGUUCUCAAGAGAAUUUAACUAGUUAAGUAUAUGUGGACAUUGUCGAGUGGAUAUGUCUGUUUUGAC